rnacentral:rRNA from 1 species
UCUUAGCUUGCUAAGGCUGAUGGCGACCGGCGCACGGGUGAGUAACACGUAUCCAACCUGCCGUCUACUCUUGGCCAGCCUUCUGAAAGGAAGAUUAAUCCAGGAUGGCAUCAUGAGUUCACAUGUCCGCAUGAUUAAAGGUAUUUUCCGGUAGACGAUGGGGAUGCGUUCCAUUAGAUAGUAGGCGGGGUAACGGCCCACCUAGUCAACGAUGGAUAGGGGUUCUGAGAGGAAGGUCCCCCACAUUGGAACUGAGACACGGUCCAAACUCCUACGGGAGGCAGCAGUGAGGAAUAUUGGUCAAUGGGCGAUGGCCUGAACCAGCCAAGUAGCGUGAAGGAUGACUGCCCUAUGGGUUGUAAACUUCUUUUAUAAAGGAAUAAAGUCGGGUAUGCAUACCCGUUUGCAUGUACUUUAUGAAUAAGGAUCGGCUAACUCCGUGCCAGCAGCCGCGGUAAUACGGAGGAUCCGAGCGUUAUCCGGAUUUAUUGGGUUUAAAGGGAGCGUAGAUGGAUGUUUAAGUCAGUUGUGAAAGUUUGCGGCUCAACCGUAAAAUUGCAGUUGAUACUGGAUGUCUUGAGUGCAGUUGAGGCAGGCGGAAUUCGUGGUGUAGCGGUGAAAUGCUUAGAUAUCACGAAGAACUCCGAUUGCGAA